rnacentral:tRNA from 1 species
GGAAGGGUGCUAGAGCGGUUGAAUAGGCUGGUCUUGAAAACCAGAAUACCAGAAAUGGCAUCGCGAGUUCGAAUCUCGCCCCUUCCGCCU